AAUGAACGCUGGCGGCAUGCCUUACACAUGCAAGUCGAACGGCAGCAUGACCUAGCUUGCUAGGUUGAUGGCGAGUGGCGAACGGGUGAGUAAUGCAUCGGAACGUGCCUUUUAGUGGGGGAUAACGUAGCGAAAGUUACGCUAAUACCGCAUAUUCUCUGAGGUGGAAAGCAGGGGACCUUCGGGCCUUGCGCUAGAAGAGCGGCCGAUGUCGGAUUAGCUAGUUGGUGAGGUAAAGGCUCACCAAGGCAACGAUCCGUAGCGGGUCUGAGAGGAUGAUCCGCCACACUGGGACUGAGACACGGCCCAGACUCCUACGGGAGGCAGCAGUGGGGAAUUUUGGACAAUGGGCGCAAGCCUGAUCCAGCCAUGCCGCGUGAGUGAAGAAGGCCUUCGGGUUGUAAAGCUCUUUCGGCUGGGAAGAAAUCGCACCCUCUAAUACAGGGUGUGGAUGACGGUACCAGCAUAAGAAGCACCGGCUAACUACGUG
rnacentral:rRNA from 1 species